rnacentral:rRNA from 1 species
UGGGGAAUUUUGGACAAUGGGGGCAACCCUGAUCCAGCAAUGCCGCGUGAGUGAAGAAGGCCUUCGGGUUGUAAAGCUCUUUUGUCAGGGAAGAAACGGUUCGGGCUAAUAUCCUGGGCUAAUGACGGUACCUGAAGAAUAAGCACCGGCUAACUACGUGCCAGCAGCCGCGGUAAUACGUAGGGUGCGAGCGUUAAUCGGAAUUACUGGGCGUAAAGCGUGCGCAGGCGGUCGUGCAAGACAGAUGUGAAAUCCCCGGGCUUAACCUGGGAACUGCAUUUGUGACUGUACGGCUGGAGUGCGGCAGAGGGGGAUGGAAUUCCGCGUGUAGCAGUGAAAUGCGUAGAUAUGCGGAGGAACACCGAUGGCGAAGGCAAUCCCCUGGGCCUGCACUGACGCUCAUGCACGAAAGCGUGGGGAGCAAA